UUGUCCAGGCAAAUCCGGAUAAUCAAGGCUGAGGUGUGAUGACGAGGCACUACGGUGCUGAAGUAACAAAUGCCCUGCUUCCAGGAAAAGCCUCUAAGCAUCAGGUAACAUCAAAUCGUACCCCAAACCGACACAGGUGGUCAGGUAGAGAAUACCAAGGCGCUUGAGAGAACUCGGGUGAAGGAACUAGGCAAAAUGGUGCCGUAACUUCGGGAGAAGGCACGCUGGUGUGUAGGUGAAGUCCCUGCGGAUGGAGCUGAGACCAGUCGAAGAUACCAGCUGGCUGCAACUGUUUAUUAAAAACACAGCACUGUGCAAACACGAAAGUGGACGUAUACGGUGUGACGCCUGCCCGGUGCCGGAAGGUUAAUUGAUGGGGUUAUCCGUAAGGAGAAGCUCUUGAUCGAAGCCCCGGUAAACGGCGGCCGUAACUAUAACGGUCCUAAGGUAGCGAAAUUCCUUGUCGGGUAAGUUCCGACCUGCACGAAUGGCGUAAUGAUGGCCAGGCUGUCUCCACCCGAGACUCAGUGAAAUUGAACUCGCUGUGAAGAUGCAGUGUACCCGCGGCAAGACGGAAAGACCCCGUGAACCUUUACUAUAGCUUGACACUGAACAUUGAGCCUUGAUGUGUAGGAUAGGUGGGAGGCUUUGAAGCGUGGACGCCAGUCUGCGUGGAGCCAACCUUGAAAUACCACCCUUUAAUGUUUGAUGUUCUAACGUUGGCCCCUUACCGGGGUUGCGGACAGUGUCUGGUGGGUAGUUUGACUGGGGCGGUCUCCUCCCAAAGCGUAACGGAGGAGCACGAAGGUUAGCUAAUCCUGGUCGGACAUCAGGAGGUUAGUGCAAUGGCAUAAGCUAGCUUGACUGCGAGCGUGACGGCGCGAGCAGGUGCGAAAGCAGGUCAUAGUGAUCCGGUGGUUCUGAAUGGAAGGGCCAUCGCUCAACGGAUAAAAGGUACUCCGGGGAUAACAGGCUGAUACCGCCCAAGAGUUCAUAUCGACGGCGGUGUUUGGCACCUCGAUGUCGGCUCAUCACAUCCUGGGGCUGAAGUAGGUCCCAAGGGUAUGGCUGUUCGCCAUUUAAAGUGGUACGCGAGCUGGGUUUAGAACGUCGUGAGACAGUUCGGUCCCUAUCUGCCGUGGGCGCUGGAGAAUUGAGGGGGGCUGCUCCUAGUACGAGAGGACCGGAGUGGACGCAUCACUGGUGUUCGGGUUGUCAUGCCAAUGGCACUGCCCGGUAGCUAAAUGCGGAAGAGAUAAGUGCUGAAAGCAUCUAAGCACGAAACUUGCCCCGAGAUGAGUUCUCCCUGAGACUUUAAGUCUCCUGAAGGAACGUUGAAGACGACGACGUUGAUAGGCCGGGUGUGUAAGCGCAGCGAUGCGUUGAGCUAACCGGUACUAAUGAACCGUGAGGCUUAACCUUACAACGCCGAAG
rnacentral:rRNA from 1 species